CACAGGUUAAGAGCAAACCAGGAAGAAAUGAUCUUGAGACCUGUAACAGCUAACACGUACUGAGUGCUUCCUACAUGCCAGGAGGUCCUGAGGAGGAGACUGAAGCACGGAAAGGCUAACUAAUCUCCCUGAGGCCACACAACUAGCCUGUGGCAGGGCUGGAAUUCAUCUGUCUGCUCAUCCUGGGGGUAGUGACCACAUCAGCUUAUCAGAAUGCUUAGCUCUGACUAGAGGCCAGCAAGGCCCUGAGGAAACCUGACACAGGAUGAAAGGACAUGGACGAAAAUAUCCAGGACAGGACGUCUCUUGGAGGAGAGGGUCCCAGAGUGACGCGCCAGCAUGCGAGGAGGAUCCCUGACCUGGAAGUUAAUCUUCCCAAGGACACCAGCAGAAAAUGGACUCAAGGCCUUUAACAUAGAGAACAACAGCA